rnacentral:misc_RNA from 1 species
CCGAGUUAGGGUUUCGUCCGACGAGCCCGACCUCCCAACCCUUUGUCUAUUAUACCUUGUCGUUGCUUCGGCGGACCGGUCGCGACCAACUGGUCGAGACCGCCGGGGCCCGUCCCUGGAGAGCGUCCGCCGACGGCCCAACCACAAACUCUAGUACCAAACCAUAUCGACUGAAUUACUUGAUUAAAAUCAAAAACA